AUUGAACGCUGGCGGCAUGCCUUACACAUGCAAGUCGAACGGUAACGCGGGGCAACCUGGCGACGAGUGGCGAACGGGUGAGUAAUGUAUCGGAACGUGCCCAGUUGUGGGGGAUAACUGCUCGAAAGAGCAGCUAAUACCGCAUACGACCUGAGGGUGAAAGCGGGGGAUCGCAAGACCUCGCGCAAUUGGAGCGGCCGAUAUCAGAUUAGGUAGUUGGUGGGGUAAAGGCCCACCAAGCCAACGAUCUGUAGCUGGUCUGAGAGGACGACCAGCCACACUGGGACUGAGACACGGCCCAGACUCCUACGGGGGGCAGCAGUGGGGAAUUUUGGACAAUGGACGCAAGUCUGAUCCAGCCAUGCCGCGUGCGGGAAGAAGGCCUUCGGGUUGUAAACCGCUUUUGUCAGGGAAGAAACGCGCUGGGUUAAUACCUCGGGGUAAUGACGGUACCUGAAGAAUAAGCACCGGCUAACUACGUGCCAGCCGCCGCUGUAAAAC
rnacentral:rRNA from 1 species